UUAGUAUCUGAACGGACGUUUAACCUAUUUGAUGUUAUACCUGAAUUCUUCUGAAGUGCAAUUAAUGGCUCCGACUCGUUACAUAGUUUAUUUUGCUGCAAGAGAAAUUUGCUUAGAAUCUUUACUUAUUCUGGUCUUUUAGACAGAUUCACUGAAUUGAUUGAUUGGAUUGCAUUAACUUGCGGCAAUUAACCUAUAUUUAUACCCUUAUAGUGAUGUGUCCUUUGUAUUUUUAUAUAUAUCAUGCAAUGUCUGUAUUGUUUAUAAUUCUGCUAAGGAGACAGCCCGAAUGGAUCAUUGUAUACAUGAAACAUCAUGUCAAGCGGUGUGCUCUUCCUAUCUUUGUGUAAUUCGCGAGAGUACUCAUUAUUAAAUUGAUAUCUAUGGAGACAUAAUUUUAGAUCUGACUAUGAUCCUGGAUUGAGUCAGAGCUAUUUUUGUUCUUGCUUUUCGGAAUACUCGUUAUGAACAAGAGGUGGACACAGGCUUUUCGUAAUCUGAAAUAAUUUGGAGCUGGCAGCUUUGUCUUUGAUGACUGUCAUCGGUGGAUCACAAAUAGUGCUAGAUAUUGACUGCGAACAUAUUGAUGUAUAUUAGAAAGCGUGUUGCCGGCGAGAAUUAUAUUUUCUAAUUUAAUUUGCGUAUCUCGUGCACAAUCAUUGGAUUAGAUUGGAUAUAUUCUACGAAAUAUAAUUGAAAUAUUGUCACAUUAUGAAUUGGCAGAUAUGUCACUUCUUUCCAAUUCAUAUUAAUUAAUAAUUAUUAAGAAUUAUGGCUUUAUUGUUAUGACUUUACUCUUUGGAGGAUAUCUGCGUUUGUUUAUGCAACCGCUGUAUAUCUAUAUAUCGCGUGAUAUCGUUUAUUACGUAAUAUUGUUUGUCGGAUCUUCUGGCUUUGCCGAUCUUUCUUUCUUUUGAGUGUCUCAGCUUGUGAGACUAUGUGAGAUCUUUCUUGGAUAAUCUUGUGGGGAGAAAUACAUUCGUUUUGGCACUAUGACACUUAAUAAAGUUUAUUGCUAUGGUA
rnacentral:lncRNA from 1 species